AAGAUCCUAGAACUUACCACCAGGAUCACUGAGCUGCUGAGCGGAGAGGUUCCUAUAAGGUGUCAGGAUGUCGCUGUCUAUUUCUCCAUGGAGGAGUGGGAGUAUUUAGAAGAACACAAGGAUCUGUACAAAGACAGAAACCACAUGGCUACAAGGAUAUUAGACCUCACCCUAGAGAUCAUCUCCUUGAUAACUGGAGAGGUUUACACAGUAGUGAAGAAGUCGUCUGGUGAGUGUGUGACACCCCGUGUGUCAGGAGGAUGGAGCAGGACCCAGAGCCC